rnacentral:rRNA from 1 species
UACGAAGGGGGCGAGCGUUGCUCGGAAUGACUGGGCGUAAAGGGCGCGUAGGCGGCUGUUUCCGUCAGAUGUGAAAUUCCCGGGCUCAACCUGGGGGCGGCAUUUGAUACGUGGCGGCUUGAGUGGGGAAGAGGGUCGUGGAAUUCCCAGUGUAGAGGUGAAAUUCGUAGAUAUUGGGAAGAACACCGGUGGCGAAGGCGGUCUCCUGGGGCAUUCUUGACGCUGAGACGCGAAAGCUGGGGGAGCGAACGGG